GUGGAUCACCUACGCAGUGACGGCUCGUGUCGCGUAUUCGCGGCUUCCUGUACUAUUCCUUCUGGUAGUCCAUUCUGAGGGAAUUGUUUGAAAUACCUUUCUGCAUAAGGUUAUCUUCAGGGUAAUUGAUAAUGAUGGCAAAUCAGAAAUCUAAGCAGAGCAUCAGUAGAACAGAAUGUCACAUAGCCAUUAAAUUGACGUCCACACAGCGUUGACUUGAAGCAGAGAAAUGCACAUGUAGUAAUUUACAUUUUAUGUAGUUAAAACAAAAAGACCAGGAUAUAAAGUUAUGUCGAUGCAGAGUGAUGCUAGCUAUGUUAAACCACCACUCUGGCGAAGAACAUACCAGAAUGUGAACACAGGUAAUCCUGGGUCUAAGAAUAUUGGGAAUCUUUAUACUUUCUGUUGGUCUUCAUAUUUUAUACUGUGAUUGCUUAUUUCCUUUAUAUAUAUAUCUAAAAAAGAAGCCCCAAAAUUGGCAUUGACUUUCCUGACCCGGGAAGGACUGACAUAAUUGUGUAAGCUUCUCACAUUGCCUGGGAGGAGAUGGGAAUGUUUUGGCAAAGGUAAGAGACACACAGGCAUUUGCUUUGUGAAGUCAUUCAGUGAUUCAUGGUGGCGGGAGGAACAUUCCCCGCGAAGGAAGGGAAAUGAGGGAACUCGCUUGCUCAGUGCUCAUGUCAUUCCGGAGACUGGCCGUGGCCCGGCCCACUCACCCCAGCACCCCCAGCAGAGCCCGUUCCUGGUCUGUCCUUUGACACACUUUACCAGCCGGAGCAAAGCGCAUAGUGCCACAUUGUCAUAGAGCUGCAGGGACUAUUUGAAACCGGUGCAGAUUUAACACUGCACUCCUCCCGUAUCCUGUCUCUCCUUCACCUGGUUUUUCUCCCUGGCACUUACCACCAGCUGACAGACUGUAUGUUAGGCUUGUUUAUUUUGUUGGUUUCUGUCUCUGGGUGUUGUCAUGUCAGCUUUGUGCAGACAGGGAUGUUUGCUGUCUUGAUCACUGAUGUAAGUCUGGUGCCUGGAAGCGUGUAGAAGGUGCUUAGGAAAGACCCAUCAGGGUGAGCGACUGGGUGAGCGCGUGCACGGCAUCGUAUCGUAGUCAGCUGUUUAAUCUGUGGCACCACGAGGCUUGUGAGCUUUGAGGGCCGAGGGGCGACUCCUCUAGUGUGUAUCUCUCUCUUUUGCACAGACAUUUUGUGCCUGUCGCACAUUUGGUUCUUAGUAUGUGGUUGUGGCAUCAGAUCAUUAGACUGAUUUAUUGUUUCAGUUCUCUUUUGUUUCAGUAGAUGAAAUUAUUGUUAUUACAGAACUUGCCAUGUUGCAUUGUAAUAACUGGUUUAUGAAUGCUUUUGUGCCUUGACUGAACAUGGAGACAGCAGGCAGGCCCUGGGUCCUGACCUCUCUCCUUCCCAGCGGAGUACUCAUAAGCAAGAGACUUACGAAGAAUGCAGUUGCCGUCCCUUCACUCUGCCAUAGAGAACCUUCGCUCUUUGGAAAAAGACUUGCAUCCCUGAUACAGUCUGGCUCUUUGCUCCAGCUACUCUGGCCUGGCCUUUUCUGGUUUUGUUUUGUUUUGUUUGUUUUCAAAGUCUUUGAAUAAUUGUCGGGGAAGUCUUCAGGUCCCCUGACUGCAGUUCUCCCCCUGCCCCACCAGGCCCCAAAGUCCCAAUCAUCUGGAGCUAUUUUCCUUGCUCUGUACCAUGGAUCUGCACACUUUCUGUGAGGGGUUGUCCUUUGUGACCCCCGCUCAAUACUGUCAGAGUCUAGAAAUCUCUUUUUCACAUUCCGCGUUGGUACGAUGGAUUGAUUACGUUUAUCUGUUCAACUGCAUGACAAGCCGGAAAUAAACCUAUUUUGC